UACGUAGGGUGCAAGCGUCAAUCGGAAUUACUGGGCGUAAAGCGUGCGCAGGCGGUUUUGUAAGACUGGCGUGAAAUCCCCGGGCUCAACCUGGGAAUUGCGAUGGUGACUGCAAGGCUAGAGUUUGGCAGAGGGGGGUAGAAUUCCACGUGUAGCAGUGAAAUGCGUAGAGAUGUGGAGGAACACCGAUGGCGAAGGCAGCCCCCUGGGUCAAAACUGACGCUCAUGCACGAAAGCGUGGGGAGCAAACAGG
rnacentral:rRNA from 1 species